AUGAUCCAUCUUCCUUUUAGGGAAACAAUCCUUAGUUAUGGUUGUGAUUGUGGGAGUCACAGUAGUUGUUCUGGUUUUCAUCCUCUGUCUCUCUGGAUUCAUCUUGUUCAGGUGAGGAGGCAAUUAUCUUUUUCAGACAAAAUGCAACUUUUAAACUCAAAUAUGAGUGCAAUUUCAUUCAUUCAUUUUGUGCAAAGAAGGAAGAAGGCCUCCAAAUCCACCUCCUCUGCCAAUAGAAACAUCAGAGACACAGAAGACAAUGGACAGAGUUUCCAUCCUGAUACUAACAGUGACAUGUACUCAUCUCUGAACAUUAAUACCAGGUCACCUGACUAUGACACCCUGGAAAGUGUCAGACCCCUAAGUGAAACAGACCCCCAGAAACACAAUGAGCCUUGUGUUUAUGAGAACUGGAGAAAACCCCCACAGAACCUGGACUGAAGAGAGCCACCACAGAACCUGGACUGACGUGAACCCCCACAGAACUUGGACUGAAGAGAGCCACCACAGAACUUGGUCUGAAGAGAACCACCAUGGAACCUGGAUUGGGGAGAACCAAAAUAUAACUUUUAUGGAAGAAAACCACACAUAUCUGGCACCAAAUUUUCACUUAUCUAUUCUUCUACCCAAUCUUGUAUGGAGUACAAACACGUUCCCGCCCCUUUUGGGGGGAAAACAAACUCCCCAUAGAACUUUAUGUAAAACAGUAGUUCAAAACAACACUAAUGGAAAUGCACCAGAAUAAAAUUAGUUCAUAAAUUACACAAAAUAUAUUAUGUCAAGUCAAUAUAUGUCCAUUAUGCCUUCCAUAGAACGUGCAAGAUGUGUAGAAAAGUUUAGUUUGGUACAUCUUAAAUCGUAAAUGUCCGGUCAGUCUUCCAGCAUCAAACUGGUGCAUUAACCGCACUGUAUGGCCACAUCCUUGUGUCAGCCAAAUGAACCCCGCUCUAUGGCCAAAUCCUUGUGUCAGGCAAAUGAACCCCGCUCUAUAGCCAGAAGUGUCCUACCCGGACAUCUAUUCCUAAAUUAUUGAGUCUCCAGGUAAGCAAAUCAUUUACGUUUCUCCAGGUAAGAUUGAGUCUCCAUGUAAGAAAUUGUUUACUUUUCAUUCCCACUCUACAAACAGUAUGCAAGCUAGCAAUAGCACUGCUCUGACAACUGACCUUGCUAGCUACGUUUGCCCGGCCUGUCAGUCUGCAGCUAAUUCAGUCAGUCUGCAGCUAAUUCAGUCAGUCUGUAGCUAAGUCAGUCAGUGUGCAGCUAAUUCAGUCAGUCUGUAGCUAAGUCAGUCAGUCUGCAGCUAAUUCAGUCAGUCUGUAGUUAAUUCAGUCAGUCUGCAGCUAAUUCAGUCAGUCUGCAGCUAAUUCAGUCAGUCUGUAGCUAAGUCAGUCAGUCUGCAGCUAAUUCAGUCAGUCUGUAGCUAAUUCAGUAGGUGACACUGACAGCAGUACAGCAUGACAACAAAAGCACAUAGGUGCAAAAAGGAAUGGCAAGAGGGAAUCACCAAGUAGGGACAAAGUAGUAGGGAGGAAGCACACAUGAACAGUAACUUUUGUCUUACAUUGAACACUGCAAAAAUGGUUAGAGUCUGACUAGUAUCUAACAGCUAAAUUCAUGUUAGGUGUUUUAAUUAAGCCACGUAGAAGUUCAGAUCUAAGAACAGACCUCAGCCAAACUGCAGAAAAACAAAAGGUUAAAUAGGCUAAUUGAGCUGUGAGACAGGCAUGAAGUUAGGGCAACCCUCCAAUAUACCUUUGUUGGAACAUCCAAAACACAACAUUGAAAUCAUGUAACACUCUUUGAGGUCUCCCUUUUAGAAUAAGACCAUCCCCAAGGUUUUAUUAUGGAUGGGUGAUAUUUGAGAGUGGAUAAUACUUUGACCAGUGUACAUUUAUGCUAGUUAGCCUAUAGGAAAACCAAGAGGAGUUUUUUUCUAAGUAAAUAGGAUACAGAUAAGUUGAUUUCAAAGCCAGUUCAUAGGUCCAAACUGAGAGGACUUUUGGGAAAAUAUGAUUGAGUCUGGUCCUAUGCACUGGCACUGAAAUGAACUCACAGAAAUGCCCAACUCCCGGGUCAGACCCACAAAGACGGGUCGCUCAAGUAGCCUAUUCACUUGCCAAAAAUGGCGUUGUAAAUAAAAUGUAAAAAUAAUAAAUAGUUUUUUCAGAAAUGUUGAUUAAGAAACUGUACACUUGAACAAAAUGGCUAAAGGCCUUGUGCUUCAUUGUAGUCGUAGCUUAUAAGGCAGUAUGUAAUUAUUUUACUCUACUGAAAGGGGCAGCAAUGCAGGGGAAGUGGCAGUUUCAUUCAACAAUAAAGAAAGAAGAUAUGUUCAAAAUAGUGUCUGAUGUUACAGACAUCCCUGUACAUCAGUGUUUCUCAACCGUGCUCCUGGACACCCCCCUGCCCUGCAUGUUUUUAAUCUCUCCCUGUCUCCAUGUUCAAGCAGUGGUCAUAUUGAAAAGGUGUGCUACUUUUUGUAGUGCUGAAAACUUUUGUAGUGCUUUUAUGUAGUGAAAACUAUUCUGCAGGUUUUGUUUCAAGAGUGUCCUCAAAUAAAGUAAUUGGUGGCUGACUAGUUGUAGACCUCAAACAUUUAUUUUAUUUUCUUACACUCUCACUUUCAAAUUGACUCUGUCAAUAUUCUGAAUGCUAUCUUUAAUGUUUUGUAUGUAGUUCUUGUUGUAGCUGCUUUUUUCUAACAUCAUACAUAAAAAGAUGGAAUAUGGAUACGAACCUCUAUCGGUGGUAGACAUAUUAAUGAUUUUGGAAAUGUAUUGUUAUCUUGUUUCGUGUACUAUGCAGAGUUUUAGAAAAUAUUUCUCAUUGUGAAAAAUUACAAGUCUGUGGAUGCUGUGUAAAUGAUUUGGGAUUAGUAUUAAACUCAAAAAGAGUGACUGUGUGUUGUAAUUCAGUUGGUAAAGAUGAACACACCAUCAC
ensembl:lncRNA